rnacentral:rRNA from 1 species
ACUCAAAUGAAUUGACGGGGACCCGCACAAGCAGCGGAGCGUGUGGUUUAAUUCGAGGCUACGCGAAGAACCUUACCAGGGCUUGACAUGCAGGUAGUAGUGAAGCGAAAGCGGAACGACCCUUCGGGGAGCCUGCACAGGUGAUGCAUGGCUGUCGUCAGCUCGUGCCGUGAGGUGUUUGGUUAAGUCCACUAACGAGCGCAACCCUUAUCGCCAGUUACAUGUGUCUGGCGAGACUGCCGGUCUUAAGCCGGAGGAAGGUGGGGAUGACGUCAAGUCAGCAUGUCCCUUAUGUCCUGGGCUACACACACGCUACAAUGGCCAGUACAAUAGGGUGCGAAGCCGCGAGGCGGAGCCAAUCCUCAAAGCUGGUCUCAGUUCGGAUCGCAGGCUGCAACCCGCCUGCGUGAAGUCGGAGUUGCUAGUAACCGCAGGACAGCUAUACUGCGGUGAAUACGUUCCCGGGUCUUGCACACACCGCCCGU